AGUGAACGCUGGCGGCAGGCCUAACACAUGCAAGUCGAACGAACCUUCCGGGGGUUGUGGCGGACGGGUGAGUAACCCGUGGGAACGUGACUUUAGGUUCGGAAUAACUCUGGGAAACUUGUGCUAAUACCGAACGUGCGCUUAGGGGGGAAGAUUUAUCGGCCUUAGUGCGGCCCGCGUCUGAUUAGCUAGUUAGUUGAGGUAAUGGCUCACCAAGGCGACGAUCAGUAGCUGGUCUGAGAGGAUGAUCCGCCACAUUGGGACUGAGACACGGCCCAAACUCCUACGGGAUGCCCGAGUGUGUGAUCGAGCGCCAUGGGGAAAAUCCUGAAGCUGUCGUGCCGCGUGAACGAGGAAGGUCUUGAAAUACUAACGUUCUUGCACCUGGGAAAGUAAUGACGGUACCCAAAGAAGAAGCCCCGGCUAACUUCGUG
rnacentral:rRNA from 1 species